rnacentral:rRNA from 1 species
UACAGAGGGUGCAAGCGUUGCUCGGAUUUACUGGGCGUAAAGCGUACGCAGACGGUGAGAAAGGUCGGAUGUGAAAUCCCUCGGCUUAACCGGGGAACUGCGUCUGAUACUGGAUGGCUUGAGUUUGGGAGAGGGAUGCGGAAUUCCAGGUGUAGCGGUGAAAAUGCGUAGAUAUCUGGAGGAACACCGGUGGCGAAGGCGGCAUCCUGGACCAACACUGACGCUGAGUGAGCGAAAGCCAGGGGAGCAAACGGG